rnacentral:RNase_P_RNA from 1 species
UUUGGCAUUAGGAAAGUCCGAGCACAGCAGGGCAGGGUGCAAGAUAACAUCUUGUGAAGGCGACUUCAAGGAUAGUGCAACAGAAACAAACCGCCACUUAAUUGUCUAUUUUUGUGUUUUUAUAAUUUUAUAAUUAUAUCUUACCUCCUAUUUUUUCACAAAAUUUUAAAGUGGUAAGGGUGGAAAGGUGGAAUAAGUGCCCACCGGCAUCUGCGAGAGUAGAUGUGCUAUGUAAACCCCACCUUGUGCAAGAUAAGGGAGAUUAUACGGGUUGCCCGCCCGUUCCCGAUAUACAUCGCUUGAACGCAUUGGCGACAGUGCGUCUAGAUAGAUGACCAUCCUAGACAAAACUCGGCUUACAGACUA